rnacentral:lncRNA from 1 species
GGACUCAAGCUGAUAGCAGAAACUGUAAGCAGUAACAUGUGUGUGAAAACUAGGUCGUCACGCUGAAACAUAAUGUGUUUCCACAAAUUAGCCCAUUUGCACGCGGUCGAAGCUUAGGUGACAAAUUAAGGAUAUGCCGUAGGAGAAGGAAAGGAUGCGAGUUCCUCCUUGCUAACCUAUGAGGCUCACCCCAAACUUGGAACCUUGCACGGCUUUCCAAAUCCGAGGUCACCAAAGACUAUUGAUUUUUCGACUUGAAAGAUCAAUGCGGUGAGCGAUUCCUACCAGAAAAUGGUUCCUUUACACCUAUGUAGAAGUUUCGACUAGAUUAGCAACUCUUAGGCUGUUGAAUUCAAACUACUUCAUUUUCCCCAAGACAUCGCCAAGAAGGCAGAUGGAUGCAAGAAAUCCAUCAUCCAAAAGCAAACUUUAAGGAGCAAGGCCCGGAGUCGAGUCGACGAUUACUCUGGUAACCGAGAAGGGGGAAAAGAAAUCAAAGCAAAAGGAGGCGGAGCUAAAAGAGGCUUACGCAGGGAGAAAUUGUUGUGUCGUCGCCGUUGCUCGCCAGGCCCCAUGAGACGGGUGGGGUUAGUCGAUGGGUCGUCGUCGACCAUCUCGUACGUCUUGCUGACGAACGGCUCGAGUGAGCGGUGGCCGCGGAAGCCGUCGUUCGCCGCAUCGAUUCUUCCGCCGAGAUCAGAGGAGUUCCGAUCGAACCGAAGAAGGGUGGAGACGGGGAUUAGGGACGGUCGGAUAGCG